AGUACACACAUAGUCAAGGUAGGACUAGAAGUUGAAAGGAGUCUCCUGUUGAUGCAGCAGUGCUGCCAGUAGAGAACACAGGCUUUUUAUUCUUAAUUUUGCUAUAGAUUUAGUAUUUGUUUUGCAUGCGAGUUCAGAAUGGUUGCAAAGUACGUCCUCUGCUUCAGAACAGUUCAGAGUUGUGGAUAUUAGGGCACGCUAUUCUUUCAGCACCACAUGCAAAUGGGAAUUUAGGGUCUACUUGUGUCCCCUUUGGCAAGUUUUUUUUUUUCUUGCUUACAGAGCAUUUUUAGGGGUCUAGGGCAAUUGCAGUAAGUGGUCCUGUUAUUGGUGGAAGGUAUGAUAAGAGCUCCUGGAUAAAGCCUAAAAAGUUAUUUUUUGUCUAAAUUAUUGAAAACGGGACUUUCAACUGCAUCCAUCCGAUGCCACGAUCUCUGUGACUCAGUUGUUCAUUUGGGUCCAUGUGAAGUUUAUACCUGGUAUAUUCUGCAUACCUGUAUCUAGCAGCUCAUACCUGUUAUUGCACUGCACAACAUCAGCUAAAUGUUGAUGUACAACAAUCCCUGGGGCAGGAAUGCUGAAUUCCGAAUACGGUCAGCUGCUUGCAGUUCUUUAAAAUGUAUUUUAUUUAAACUGUCUGUAAACAUUUUGUAAAUUUCCUGUGUUUAAUGUAAGCUCUGAAUCAACACAGGGUUAAUGAACUCUUAAAAUUAAGCUACACAUAGCUGGUGCACAUCAGCAGUUUGCAAUCCCCAGUCUUCUUGUUUGACCUUGUGAUGCGUGGGUAUAGCACUAUGCUGCCUGUGAGAAUUGAGCAAAACCCACAGCAUUGUUCUUAAAAGUAACUUCUUGGUAUCUGGGUUUCUGCUGACAUUGAAACGCAAAUGUUAACUUUUAAUGUGCUUUGUCUCACAUCAUGCUAGGUAAAUAAGACCAAAUUUGGUCAAGGAAAUCACGUAAGCUAGCUGCAUAUCUGUGCUCUACGAAGUAAUUUCUUUCUACACUGACGGCAGCUCAGAAACUAACGUCUCUGUGCCAUGCUGGCUCUGUUGUCAUAAAAGCUCAGCUUGGCUCAGCUCAGUAACAGCUACACUGAUGCAAGAUCAGCUCAAACAUCUACACUGAUGCCAGCUCAGAAACUAACAUCUACACUAAUGCCAGCUCAGAAACUAACAUCUACACUGAUGCCAGCUCAGACGUUACACCUCCUGAGGCCUACCAUAUGCUGUAUGUGUUUUUUGUUCUUAUUCCUGUUUUUAAAUUGAUAAAUAAAAUCUUUCUGAUUGAA